rnacentral:rRNA from 1 species
GAUGAACGCUGGCGGCGUGCCUAAUACAUGCAAGUCGAGCGAACGGACGAGAAGCUUGCUUCUCUGAUGUUAGCGGCGGACGGGUGAGUAACACGUGGAUAACCUACCUAUAAGACUGGGAUAACUUCGGGAAACCGGAGCUAAUACCGGAUAAUAUUUUGAACCGCAUGGUUCAAAAGUGAAAGACGGUCUUGCUGUCACUUAUAGAUGGAUCCGCGCUGCAUUAGCUAGUUGGUAAGGUAACGGCUUACCAAGGCAACGAUGCAUAGCCGACCUGAGAGGGUGAUAGGCCACACUGGAGCUGAGCCACCGUCCAGACUACUACGAGAGGCAGCAGUAGGGAAUCUGCCGCAAUGGGCGAAAGCAUGACGGAGCAACGCCGAGUGAGUGAUGACGGUCUUCGGAUCGUAAAACUCUGUUAUUAGGGAAGAACAUAUGUGUAAGUAACUGUGCACAUCUUGACGGUACCUAAUCAGAAAGCCACGGCUAACUACGUG